rnacentral:rRNA from 1 species
UUGAACGCUGGCGGCAGGCCUAACACCCGCAAGUCGAGCGGAUGAAGGGAGCUUGCUCCUGGAUUCAGCGGCGGACGGGUGAGUAAUGCCUAGGAAUCUGCCUGGUAGUGGGGGAUAACGUCCGGAAACGGGCGCUAAUACCGCAUACGUCCUGAGGGAGAAAGUGGGGGAUCUUCGGACCUCACGCUAUCAGAUGAGCCUAGGUCGGAUUAGGUAGUUGGUGGGGUAAAGGCCUACCAAGGCGACGAUCCGUAACUGGUCUGAGAGGAUGAUCAGUCACACUGGAACUGAGACACGGUCCAGACUCCUACGGGAGGCAGCAGUGGGGAAUAUUGGACAAUGGGCGAAAGCCUGAUCCAGCCAUGCCGCGUGUGUGAAGAAGGUCUUCGGAUUGUAAAGCACUUUAAGUUGGGAGGAAGGGCAGUAAGUUAAUACCUUGCUGUUUUGACGUUACCAACAGAAUAAGCACCGGCUAACUUCGUG